AGCGAACGCUGGCGGCAGGCUUAACACAUGCAAGUCGAGCGGGCACUUCGGUGUCAGCGGCAGACGGGUGAGUAACACGUGGGAACGUACCCUUCGGUUCGGAAUAACGCUGGGAAACUAGCGCUAAUACCGGAUACGCCCUUUUGGGGAAAGGUUUACUGCCGAAGGAUCGGCCCGCGUCUGAUUAGCUAGUUGGUGGGGUAAUGGCCUACCAAGGCGACGAUCAGUAGCUGGUCUGAGAGGAUGAUCAGCCACACUGGGACUGAGACACGGCCCAGACUCCUACGGGAGGCAGCAGUGGGGAAUAUUGGACAAUGGGCGCAAGCCUGAUCCAGCCAUGCCGCGUGAGUGAUGAAGGCCUUAGGGUUGUAAAGCUCUUUGUCCGGACGAUAAUGACGGUACCGGAAGAAUAAGCCCCGGCUAACUUCGUGCCAGCAGCCGC
rnacentral:rRNA from 1 species